AUCAAAAUAUCAAAAUAGCAUCAUAAUGUCUUCCUUAUCUUCCCAGGAGCUCUGCAGCAAAAAGCUAAGAAGACCAUGCACAUGAGGUGAAUGACUCAUACAAGAUGGGAAGCUGGCUAACUGGUUAGCCCUGAAUUUAACAAAGUUAACACCCAAGAGAAAGUUUCCAAACUUUGACUAAGCCAAAACAGGUGUUGUUCCCAAGAACACUUUACUAAAAAAUAUCCUGCAUAAAAAUCGUCAUCAUCAUCCACCAGUCAAAACACCUGUUAAAUUCUUUUGUGCCUAUGACAAGAUAUACAAGAUACUGGAUCACUGCAACAUCAGUGACUCUCAAAGUGAAGAGACUGUCUUUUCACCAUUUUGUAUUCAUGGUGCCCUUAUUGAAGUUACGAUGACUCUGGUGAGUUUAUUUCAAGGCUCUCUAUUCUGUUUCAUUGGUCUACAUGUCUUUUUUUUAUGGCAGUACAGUGUUUUGAUUUUAUAGUUUUGUCAUAUUUUGAAAUUAGAAAAUAUGAUACUUCUAGCUUUUUUCUUCUUGCUCAAAAUUCUUUUGGCUAUUUGGAGUCUUUAGUGGUUCCAUAAGAAUUUUAGGGUUUUGUGUGUGUGUGUGUGUGUGUGUGUGCCUGUAUGGAUGUGUAAA
rnacentral:lncRNA from 1 species